AGAGUUUGAUUAUGGCUCAGGAUGAACGCUGGCGGCGUGCCUAACACAUGCAAGUCGAACGGAAACAGGACUUUCGCUAAGCUUCGGCUUAGUUGUUUGUUUAGUGGCGGACGGGUGAGUAACGCGUGGACAACCUGCCGUAUACAGGGGGAUAACAGAGAGAAAUUUCUGCUAAUACCGCAUAAGCGCACGGGGAGGCAUCUUCUUGUGUGAAAAGAUUUAUCGGUAUACGAUGGAUCCGCGUCUGAUUAGCCAGUUGGCGGGGUAAAGGCCCACCAAAGCGACGAUCAGUAGCCGGCCUGAGAGGGUGAACGGCCACAUUGGGACUGAGAGACGGCCCAAACUCCUACGGGAGGCAGCAGUGGGGGAUAUUGCACAAUGGGGGAAACCCUGAUGCAGCGAACCGCCGCGUGAGUGAAGAAGUAUUUCGGUAUGUAAAGCUCUAUCAGCAGGGAAGAAGCAGACGGUACCUGACUAAGAAGCACCGGCUAAAUACGUGCCAGCAGCCGC
rnacentral:rRNA from 1 species